rnacentral:lncRNA from 1 species
AUGCAAUUGAGGCAACCCUUGGGCUGCUUUAGAGGCGCUGACAUCCGAGGAGCCUUCUCCUGGGAGGUCCAACAGCCGAGCGUAACCCACUGGGCUCUGGGAAAGACCCGACUGAGGCUAAAGCCGCCCCGGAAGGCCAAGUCCGAGUUCCAUUUCUUGAAGAGGCCGGCGCGGGUCCAGGCAGCCCUCUGCAAGGCUGGGCCCCAUCGCUCCCCGCACGGCAUUUGGAGGUGGCCACCCGGAGAGGAGAAGGCCGACGCCCGCGCCAGGCUUGUCAGGCGGAAACAGCUAACAAGGAGAUUUGGUCAGCAAAACAGACCGAGCCUUUCCGAGGCUUCGUCUGAUUUGGCCCGAAAGGUUGGGGAGGGGGGGCUUGCGCAGCGCCUCCGGGACCCUCCUCUCUGGGGACGACCAUCCCUGAGCCUUACGCUUCGUUCCACCGCCUUUGCAAGCGGAAUAUCGGAAUAA